UACGUAGGUGGCAAGCGUUUGUCCGGAAUUAUUGGGCGUAAAGCGCGCGCAGGCGGUUCCUUAAGUCUGAUGUGAAAGCCCCCGGCUCAACCGGGGAGGGUCAUUGGAAACUGGGGAACUUGAGUGCAGAAGAGAAGAGCGGAAUUCCACGUGUAGCGGGUGAAAUGGCGUAGAGAUGUGGAGGAACACCAGUGGCGAAGGCGGCUCUUUGGUCUGUAACUGACGCUGAGGCGCGAAAGCGUGGGGAGCAAACAGG
rnacentral:rRNA from 1 species